AGGGAAUUUUCCACAAUGGACGCAAGUCUGAUGGAGCAACGCCGCGUGAACGAUGAAGGUCUUCGGAUUGUAAAGUUCUGUUGUUAGGGACGAAACCGUACCGUUCGAACAGGGCGGUACCUUGACGGUACCUAAUUAGAAAGCCACGGCUAACUACGUGCCAGCAGCCGCGGUAAUACGUAGGUGGCAAGCGUUGUCCGGAAUUAUUGGGCGUAAAGCGCGCGCAGGCGGCUAUGUAAGUCUGAUGUUAAAGCCCGGGGCUCAACCCCGGUUCGCAUUGGAAACUGUGUAGCUUGAGUGCAGAAGAGGAAAGCGGUAUUCCACGUGUAGCGGUGAAAUGCGUAGAGAUGUGGAGGAACACCAGUGGCGAAGGCGGCUUUCUGGUCUGUAACUGACGCUGAGGCGCGAAAGCGUGGGGAGCAAAC
rnacentral:rRNA from 1 species